GUGAUGUAUGCAGGGAGAGAAAGAUAGAACUGCCCUUGACAAAAACAGAUAAGACCUUUGGGCCUAACAACAGGGCCUGUGGUUAAGGCAGUGCCAUGUAUUGUGGCAUCUGAUGACUGUUUUUA
ensembl:snRNA U6atac minor spliceosomal RNA